CAAACAUUCUUCUGCCACGGAGGUUUCUAUUCAUGCACGGAGGCCGCUCAGUUGCAGAGGACUUUUCCAACCGGGAAGAAGCAUCUUAAAGCUCCAACCUUCCACUGGUUCUCACCCCAUGGAAGGUGGAAGGUGGAAUGGACCUCUUUGCAUUUGAAGAUUUCUUGCUUGAGCAGAAGCGUAAAGAACAAGAGACAAUUGUGAAGGAGCAAGCUGAGAGAGAAGGGCAAGCAGAAGAGCAGAGGCGAAUUGAAGCGGAGAAGGCAGCAAGUGAAGCUGACAGAGCACAUGCAGAGGCAGAUAUCUUAAAGAGACGACAAAUGGUGCAAGAGUGCUCAUUCUAGGAGUUUCACUGUAACAGAAGCUUCUCUUGGGGAGGAACGGAAAUAAAAGUUUGGUUUGGGAAAGUGGAAGGUGUUUCGAUCUACUUUUGGAGCCUCAAAACGGAUUCUUUUAUGCAGGUUGCAUAUAUGGCUGUAAAAAUGAUGCAGAGAGAUUUGGUUUCUUUUGCCAUGCUGCGCUACAAGUACUACUCCAAAGUGGAUUUCAUCCUGAUGUCAUUCAUUGCCAUGUCUCUGUUGCCUGGUUAUGGUCUUAGUAAAGCUGGGGUUUUUUCACAAUUCACAACCUUGAGUUUGGAGCGCACUUCAUUGGUAAAGCUGUGGCGUAUUCAAACAAGUACACAAAUUCCUGAGACUGAACUAAAGUUUUCAGUUUUCGAUCUCCUAAAGCAUAAUUUGCUUUGUGAAUACUAGUAGCAGACUUUUCAACUGUAAUUACCAACUGUAUCUUAUCAACUGUUUCACCCAUAUCUCUAUCUUCAGGUAUCCAACACUAACGCUAAGGAGGUAACUGGAAAUCCUGCAGUCGCUCCACAUCUUUACAAGUUUCAUGGUUUAAUAAAUGGAAUUGACCAUGAUAUAUGAGAUCCAUACAAUGAUAAGUUCAUUCCUAUAUCAUAUACUUCUGAAAAUGUUUUUGAAGGCAAACAAGCUGCCAAGCAAGCCUUCCAACAGAGGCUUGGUCUGAAAACAUCUCUAUAAACUCUUAUCCCCUCCUAUUUUGUGCGAUCACGGUUAAA